rnacentral:rRNA from 1 species
GAUGAACGCUGGCGGCGUGCCUAAUACAUGCAAGUCGAGCGAACGGACGAGAAGCUUGCUUCUCUGAUGUUAGCGGCGGACGGGUGAGUAACACGUGGAUAACCUACCUAUAAGACUGGGAUAACUUCGGGAAACCGGAGCUAAUACCGGAUAAUAUUUUGAACCGCAUGGUUCAAAGGUGAAAGACUGUCUUGCUGUCACUUAUAGAUGGAUCCGCGCUGCAUUAGCUAGUUGGUAAGGUAACGGCUUACCAAGGCAACGAUGCAUAGCCGACCUGAGAGGGUGAUCGGCCACACUGGAACUGAGACACGGUCCAGACUCCUACGGGAGGCAGCAGUAGGGAAUCUUCCGCAAUGGGCGAAAGCCUGACGGAGCAACGCCGCGUGAGUGAUGAAGGUCUUCGGAUCGUAAAACUCUGUUAUUAGGGAAGAACAUAUGUGUAAGUAACUGUGCACAUCUUGACGGUACCUAAUCAGAAAGCCACGGCUAACUACGUG